rnacentral:lncRNA from 1 species
UUGUCUCCUAAUAUUGAUCUUGCUCUAUGAUGCCGACUUCAAAGAAUUAAAUUUCAUGUCAUUUCCUUUUCCCUACCUAUCCUACAUUAGGUGCAUUGAUCAUAAAUUCAGCAAUUUGAAUAGUGGGGAGACAGAAUGUUAUAAGCAUUUGAUGGUUAAAAAAGUAUAAUAAUUUUCUUUUUAUGUUAGAAAUCUUUAACAGAUAACCAAAGAUAAUUUUAUCAUUUAUGUUGAUAUGAAAUAUUAGAUCGAUCUGACACAUUCAGUACUACAUUAGCUUUACAUUAUCUUUGUUAUCCUCCAAUAAUUUUUCAUUGCUUAUAUAUAAAUAUGAAAAGUCUAGUCACAAUUAAAAUAAAUUCAUGCUACUUCUAUUUUUCUUUAUUAUUUUUUUCUAAUCUUAUUUAUUUUGAUUUAUAUAUUCAAAUACAAACGUAAUUAAUAUUUUUUAUCUUUACUUUUAAUCAUCUUUUUCUUUUAUCUUUAUAAAAUUUGACCAGAGAUCAAAACUUAGCGCAAGUUUUAUGAUCUGUCGUCUUUUAUGUAAAUGAAGUUUGGCUAGCCAAAAGAAAGAAACGUGAGAAAGAGAAGAACUCAAUGAAAUUGAGCUUAUCCAAAUGAAAGAAACGUGACAAAGAGAAGAAAUAUAUUACUAUGGACAUGAAAACAGGAUUCAAGAGGGCCAUGUGGGUGUUUCUCCGAAGGGCGAAGGAUGCUAUGUACACGCAAUCUCCUGUGCUUGUGCGCGCAUGUACUACUUUUGUAUUUUAUGUUUUACUUUAAUCAAUUUAGUUAAUAUAUUACAACAUCAAAUUAAUUUUAACACAAACUUAAUAAGAAUUUAUCAUGAUAUUUAUAAAUAUAAAGCUAAAUUUAAAAUUUUAAUAAAAAUUUUAUUUUGAUAUUUAUAAAUCAACAGUGAUAUAUAAUUAUAUAAUAAUAUAUGAUGAUCGCUUAAAUAUUAAGAAAGUUAUCAUGAUUUAACAAAACUUUUCGUAUACAAUACGUUAAUGAAAUUUGAAACGUUUUCUUGAUUUAAUAUAAACUACAAACAGAUAAGAAAACGGACUGAGAUGACACAUGAUGCAGACCGGGGUUGGCCUGCCAAAAUUGCAGAUGGGGUGGACCAGGAUAGCUUUGAGAGGGAUUUGAUGGUUAGCUGGGCAAUAUUGCAUAGCAGAAAUUUUUUUGUAAAAUGCAAUGGAACACCCCACAAGAUACGGCAAGGUUUGCUGCCUUAUAUAUAGAGAAGUUCAGGAAGACAAAAAAGGUCCUGUAGGUACAAGACCUAAUGACGCUGAGGACUGGGCUGCCCCACCAGUUGAUAUUUUGAAAGCUUAUUUUGAUGGUGCAAUAAAUGAAGCAAUGGAACAGGAGGCUUGGGGGUCGUGACACGAGACAGUGUUGGCGCUGUAGUUGGGGCAUCUUCUAUAGUUUUAGUGAGAGUUAAAUCUCUCUCGAUAAUUUAAAUUACGAUAAUGAUUAUAUUUUUAGUAAUAUCAUAUUUAUUAUGAUUAUAAAUAUAAUAAAAUUUUUAUGAUUAUUAUGAUUAUAAAUUUUUUAAAAUUUUAUUUAAUUUAUUAUAAAAUAUAAUAAUUUUAAUUAUUAGUUAUAAAAAUAGAAAAGAAAAAAAGUAGAAAAAAUAAAAUAGGAAAAAAUUGAAAAAAAUUGGAUUAACUAAUUAAAUAAUGAAACUUGUUAGUUUAUUAAAUGUUUAAAUCAAAUUUUAAAGGUUAGUUUUACAAAUAAAAUAAGUAAUUUCUAAGUAUUUAUUAUCUAAUCUCAUUGGAUUAGGAAUAAUUCUUCAAGAUCAAGUCAUCUUAUGCUAAGAAGAUGAAAAUACUCUUUGUAAUCCAAUCAUUCCUCUUAUGUGUACACCAAAUAUAAGAUAAGAUAAUAAUCAUCUUACCGCAUCUUGUUCAUAAUUUUAUACACUAAAUAUGUUUUAUAUAGGUAUUAUAAUAAUAUAUAUUAACUCAAAGUGAAUAUUUUAGUAGUAUUAAAAUAUCAAAAAGAGAAUUUAGAACUCAUUUUAAUUAAUUUAUGUCAUCACUUUUUUAUGUCAUUAUUUUUAAAAGAUAAUAUGCAGUAAAUCUAAAAUUUAUAUUUCAACACUUAUAAUUUUUUUAUUCGUAAAUUGUAAAAAAAAAAAAAACAAGUUUUAAGGCAUUUGAUAGUCAAAUGGGUAUAAUGAUCUUUUUCUAUGUUAGAAGUCUUCAAUAGACAACUAGUGAUAUUUUUGUCAUUUAUGCAGCUUAACAUGUCUGGCCAAUCUGACAUGUCUAGUGCUACAUCAGCUCAGCAUUAUCCUUAUUGCUUCCCAAUGGUUUCCCAUUAUUUAUAUAUAAAUAUGAAGGGUCAAACAUCAUUAAGGCAAGUCCAUACUACUCUUAUAUAUCCUUGUUACUCUCUUUCCAACCUCACUUGUUCUGAUUUACGCGUCGGAGUGCAAACACAGAGAAUAUCCCUUGUCGUUGGCUCUAACCAUCAUUUUCUUCUAUCUUUCCAAGAUUUGACCCAGAGAUCAAAGCUCAGCGCAAACAUUUGGCAUGCCAAGUAAGGGGCUUCUUUUCAUUCACUAGCCAAGCAGAAAAUAAUGCCACCAAAAAGAGAACCUUAAAGGAAGGAGAGACGGUUAUCUCAGUUGGAAUAACAAUACAUAAUGGCUAGCACUCAAAACGACUUCCCCCACCACAAACAAGCCUAAUCAUGGAACAAUUCUAAGCCCUGACCAAGUAAAUACAAACCCAUAAAUAGAUACUACAAAGCAUAACCCCACCACAAACUUUAAAAGUGCUCAACUGGAUCACCUUUAAUCAAGGAGCUACAGUAAGACAACCAAGCUAUAAGGAGUUGAAAGCCUUCUUAGCCUUCAAAGAAGAUGAGCAUAACACUCCAAUUUACCAUUACCCUAGUCACAAUUUGACACAUGCCAUAAUCCAAAAAUCUAAAUACAUAAACCUUGAACCCUAACUAAACAAGGAUUUGAAAGCUCAAAUGUAGAGAGAAAGCGCUGAAAACAAAAGUAAUGGCAUUUGAGGAUGAGCUUAAGUUCCUGAAAACCUCAUCUUUCAUCGAAGAAAUCAAUAAAGCCAUGCUUCUUAAGGGGUUCAAAAUAUCGACCUUGGAAACUUACGAUGGUACUUUUGACCCUAUCGAUCAUUUGAAACUUUAUAAGACAACGUGAUGAUGCAAGAUGCAGACAAAGCCCUGAUGCGCAAAGGCCUAGCUAUCAUUCUAAAGGGUGUAGCUCAGUCUUAGUAUAGGAGCCUGAACCAAGGUCAAUUACAACUUUCAAAGAGUUUAGCCAUUUUUUCCUAUCUAGAUUUAUGAACAGUUAAAGAGUAAAGAAGUCAACUCUGAGUUUGAUGUCAAUCCACCAAGGUCAUAAUAAAUCUUUGAAAAGCUGUGUCAUACAUUUUAACACGAAAGCUCUACAGGUUAAAGACUUAGAAUAAAUGGCUGUUGUAGCCACCUUAACCAGUGGACUUAAUGAAAAAAAAUACCACAUGAAGUUAACUUUGUCGUUGUAACCACCCAAAACUUCGAUCGAUGUUUAAUUGAUAGUUAAAAAAUAUAUAAACGCUAAAGCUAUAAUGAAAAACAACCAAGGUGAGAGAGGCUCAUCCCCCUUCAUCAGUCAUAAGAAAAAUAAUGAUUUUUACAAUCUUUUCUCAAGAGAGAGAUGACAUAAGGCUAGAAGUCCUAGUGGAUAAAGGAACUACAUUGUAAAGAAUACCUCCUAAGAGAGGAUUCUAAUGCAAAUUGAAAAAACCCCAACCUCAAAUGGUCGAAGCCACUAAGAUAGAAUACAAGAAGAGACACGACCAAAAGAUAUGCCUUUCACAGAGAUAUGGUUCAUCAUAUUGAAUAUUGUGUUGACUUAAAAAAUGAGAUCAAAGCCUUAAUAAAAAGAGGUCAGUUGAAAAAGUUUGUAGAGCAAUAAAGGUAAAGCCAAUUUAGAAUGAACUAUAGAUAAGAUUAAAGAGAGCCCACCUAAGGCAAAGUAAAAUAGCCAGAAAAUGGAAAAAGAAAAGUUUGAAGAGACUUACCGAUUCAAGAAAAAGUUUGAAUUGAUAAUAACAGGUCGAUCACCUAGGUUAUUAAUGUGAUCACUAGAGGUAGUCCACCUCGACUAAAAGAAAGUUCAAUCUAGGCAUGGUUAUGGCAGUAGGCAUCAUGGCAAAAAAAAAAAGAUUAGAGAGAUAAGUUGAUCUCGUUUAGCUUGAAUGAUCUUGAACAAAUCUAGCACCCACAUGACGAUGUUAUAGUGAUCAUGAUCGUAGUAUACAAUUAUGUAAUCAAAAUGUAUUAUUUGAUAAAGAGAGCUCAACCGAUAUCAUAUACCAUGAUACCAUAAAAAAAUUAGUGAAAAUCGACUACAAUCGAUCACUAUGAUACUAAUAAGAUUUGGGAAAGAACAUGUAUUGAUAAAAGAACAAUCAAGCUACUGAUCUCUUUGGGAACAAAACUGAAGACUAUCACCUUCAAUCAUAAAUUUAUGGAUGUCGAUGUCCUAUCAACCUAUAACAUGAUAUUGGGCCAACCUAGCCAAUUUAAUAUGAAACUUAUAGGCUCAGCUCCUCAUCCAAAAGUGAAAUUCUCAAUACCCAAUAAGGGUGAGAAAGGUUAAGGGAGACAGUCUCAUGGUAUGAUAGUAUUAGUCACCAUAAUAAAAAUGAAGGACUGAAAAGCAGACUAAGAAUAAAAGCACUAAAAAUGGUAUACAGUAGAGGUUAACAAGAAGCAAGAAGCCACAAGCAAAAAUAUAAAAUGUAAGAUCGACUUGAUAGAAGUACCCUCUUAAGCUACUUCAAGCUUUUAAGCUCUAGCAAAAAUAAAACUUUUGUUCUAUUUUUUAAGUUUUUUGAGAUAACUCUAAAGACAAUCAAGCUUUUAAGUCGGUGUGAAUAACUACAUGUCAUUUAGAUCAAGCUAAUAGGCCGGCCAAAUUACAGUAUGAAAUGAAAAAUACAUACCAAUUUUAUGACAUAUAUAUUCAAGAAGUUUUCAACAACAUACUGAUCAUUAUGUCGAGGUUUGUUUUCAUACGAAAUGAUCAUAACCUAAUCGAACAAAAAGAAAUAAUUAACCAAAAAUCAGACUUGGAUGAAAGUCAACCUGAGUAGAUUGAGAAUCUAGUAGCCAUACCAUUAUGGGAUAGCAUUCCUAAAAAACAUAUGUGGAUUGAAACCAAACUUCAACAUAAGUAUUAGUUAAUUCAAUUUUUAGAAUAUAAUGUCGACCUAUUCGCUUGGAUACUAUCUAAUAUGUCCGGGAUUGAUGUCGAAGUGAUGGUCCAUAAGCUAUAUAUUAAUUGAAGAUAAAACCAAUUCAACAAAAGAAGAGAACCUUGACUCCAAAAAGAUAAAGGGUUAUCGAGGAGGAGAUUGAUAAAUUACUGCAAAUAGGCUUUAUUAGAAAGGUAUAUUAUCCUGAGUGAAUAGUCAAUGGUCAUGGUAAAAAAUCAUAGUGAAAAAUGAAAGACGUGUGUUGACUUUACUGACCUGAACAGAGCAUGCUAAAAGAUAACUUUUCUCUCCCUAGCAUAGAUUGAAUGGUGGAUGAUAGUAUCGAGAAUGGCCUAUUUAGCUUUAUGGAUGCCUAUUUCGAUUACAAUCAAAUCAAAAUGCUAGUGAAUGAUAAGGAAAAAUAACCUUUAUUACCAAAAAAAGCUUUUAUUGUUUUAAGCUAAUUUUUUUCAUAUUGAAGAAUGUAAGGGCAACCUACCAAAAGCUAGUAAACAAGGUGUUUAACAACCAAAUCAGUCGCAACAUGAAUGUAUACAUAGACAACAUAAUAGUUAAAAGUAAAAGCUUGAUUGGGCACCUAGAAGACUUUAGAGAGACCUUUAACACCUUAAAAAAGUAUAAUAUGAGACUUAACCCAAGUAAAUGUGCUUUCGGUGUCACGACGAAUAAGUUCUUCAGUUAUGUGAUCAACAAAAAGGGGAUAGAGGUGAACUCAAAAAAGGUCAUGCAAUCCUAAACAUGAAUGCACUGACAAAAUAGUCACUCUAAGUUGAUUCAUGUCUAGGUCUACCAAACAAUGUCUGUUAUUCUUCAAAAUUCUCAGAAAUAUCUUUAACUUUAGGUGAACUCUUCAGUGUCAAAAAUUUUUGAAAAACUCAAAUAGGUUUUAUCCUCUCUACUUAUUUGUCUAAGUCAAGACUCGGUGAGAUCUUAGCUUAUACAUGGCCACCAUAGACCAGACCAUUAGCUUGGUCUUAAUCUGAGAAGAAAAAGGGAAACAAAGUCGGUUUAUUUUGUGAGCAAGGUAUUGAUAGGGCUAAAAAUUAACUACAAGGUAUAAAAAAACUAGCUUAUGUAGUUGUCACUUAGGCUAGGAAACUUAGGCUAUAUUUUCAAGCUUAUGAGAUCCACAUGCUGCCUAACCAACCACUAAGGUAGAUUUUAGAGAAACUAAAAAUGUCUAGGAGGUUAAUUAAAUGGGCAAUAGCACUUAGUGAGAUUGACUUGCAUAUGCUGCCUAGGUCGGUUAUGAAAUCUUAAGUGCUAGUGGAUUUCAUUGUAAAGCUCACCUUUAACCCAGCUUGAAAGAUACCCAAAGAAAAAAGAAAAAACCUUGUAUAAAGAAAAUUAAAAACUUUAUGUUGAUGGAUUGAUCAUGAAACAUAAUAGAAGAACCAGUCUUAUUCUAAUCAGCUCGAAAGGAGUACAAUAUCCAUAUACCUUGAUAUUAAGUUUAAGGUAUCUAACAAUGAGGCAAAGUAUGAGGCAUUGAUAGCCAGUUUAAGAUUGGCAAUCGAGCUAAAUGUUCAACAUAUAACUAUAUAUAAUGACUCUCAGUUAAUGGUUAAGUUAAUAAAUGAGAAGUUCAGAGCUUGAGAAGAAGGAAUCCAAAAAUAUCUAAAUAAAGCAUUAGCCCUAAUGAUCAAUUUUUCCAAGGUUAAGGUAAAAAAAAUCGAGUUUAAAAAAUUCACUGAUAGACUCCUUAUGCAAGUUGACUUUAGGAAUAAUAACAGAAAGUCCAAACUAAGUCUUGAUAGAAGAAUCGACACACAAAAACACCAAGGACAAGCUCGUAGGAUAGAUCAUAAAAAAAAAAUCUAGAUAACACCAAUCAAGGCAUACCUGACCAUGAGAGCACUACUUGAAGAUAAAAUUCGAGUUAGGGCAUUGAUAAAGAAGGUUUUUCGAUACAUGAUGAUUAAGAAAAAAUUAUAUAAAAGAUCUUUUUAUCUAUUUUAUUUAAGAUGUAUUGAUAAGGAAGAAGUAGACUACAUCUUGAGAGAAAUCCUCAAAAGAAUAUGUGGAUACGACCUCAGACCUCAGUUAUUAGCCUACAAAGUACUUUGUAAGGUUAUUAUUGGUCCAUUAUCAAAAGUGAUACAAUCGAACUAGUAAAAAGAUGUAACAAAUAUCAGCGGUUCACUCAUGUGCUACAUUUUCCAUCAUUUAUCGUGUCUAGUUAUUAUAAUAAAAGAGUCUGACAUAAGCAUAUCGAGAAAGGUGACCUGGUACUUCAAAAAGUUGAAACCUUAAGAAUAGAUGACUAAAGUGACAAAUUAGCCUUAACUUGAGAAUGAUCAUAUAUAGUUAAAAAGAUCAUUUAUGGCAUGACUUACAAACUACAAGACAUCAAUGGCAACUUCAUCCUAAUGAUGUAAAAUGCAGAUAAUUUAAGGGUUUAUUAUCAAUAGCAUGGUCUAAACUGAGCUUACACUUGUACUUUUUACUUGAAUACAGAAAUUAAACUACGCUUAAUGAGUUCAUGCUAAAUCGACCUAACAAAAUUUGACCUAGAACUUAGAUGGAUUCUUAAGUUAAUUUAGUUAAAGUAAUUAAGUAAAUCCUUAGGUCAUUUAACCAGGCUUAAACUUUUUCAAUUAAUCAUGCUUAAACUUAAACGAAUAAAGAAAAAAUUAUAACAACAGAAAUGAGCUGAAUCUUGGAUGGAGCUGAACAAAAGUUUCUAUUUAUCUUUUUAUUAAGUACAAAAGUUGUUAAAAAAUGGUUUGUCAGGCAAGUCAUUCCAAUCCGAGGUCAUUAAAAAAAUUGACCUCAUACAUUAACAAAAAUUUACAAAAGUUAAAAACAAAAAAGUUAAAAAUAAAAAAGAAUUAUGUGUCAACAACAUUAGCAACAAUAGCAUGAGUAAUAUCCUUAUUAGUAGGAGCAACAAUAGUGAUAAUCUAACCUUUCCCAGCCUUUUUCACCUCAUGCUCGGGCCCUAGAGCUACCUCGAGCUCGACAUUUAUGGCUUUAUCAUUACUUUUUUUUUCAUUUUUCUCUUCUUUCUUUGGUUGAUUUAAAGGAGAUCUCAAUUUGAUAUUAUUGAUAUUAAUAUAAAAAAGAUUAAGGUUGAGGUGAGAAAACUUAAAAUGCACCUCAUCUUUGGCCAAGCUAAAGGCACUGAGCAUAUUUUUCAAAGAACUCCAUUUUUAGCUGGAGGAAUUCACUGAAAGCCUUGAACUUCUUAACAUUUUUUGCCUUUAGAUCUUUUCUCUCUCUUUUUUUGAUUUCCAGCUCAAACCUCAACCUAAACAUCAUUAAGCUGAAGCUUAGUCUACUCCCUCAUAGACUUGAUCGAGGCUUUAUAACUAGGACGGCCUUCAACUUUACUUUCAGCUCAUCAUUCAUUUUCUUUGUUCAACCUCUUUUUUGUGAGACAUACUGAAACUAGACCUAACAUUGCCCAGAGUGCCUAAGUUCUUUUUAUGUUCAUUGGCUGGGCAGCCACAUCUUUUUUAGCCUUCAAUAGGUGGGUUAUUAUAAGGUAGAUGUAGUAGAGGGCCUGGCUGAUGUUGUUAAAGGGCUGAGCUAGAAAUUUUGUUGGACUAUAUAGAACAAACUCAUGCUUAGCAAAAUGAAAGAUAAUGAUAAAACUGAGCUUAAGUCAAACAGUACUUACCAAAAUUAGGAAUCGCGACCUUGUCGAACAUUUUCACUAUAUUAAGGUUAUUAGUGAGGUCAUUGGUAGGAGCAUACUUUAACCUUGUAGAGAUCUUUUUCAAGCUAGGCUUAAGUACCCUAGCUUCAGGGUUCUUUAAGGUGGAAGAAAAGACCUACAUCCUUAACUUUUUAACAUGAAAAGGUGUUUGUGCUAAGAACAGAUCCUAACUAGCCCUGGCCUUUAUCUUUUGAGUUGUUAGAAAGCAUUACAUUGAAAGGCUAAUGAACUUAUCCCCUUGUGGGAUUAUGAAGUUGAAUUUUCUUUAGGCCUCUUUUGGGCCUAAGAGUGUGCUAGUAUAGGAUGAAGUUGAAGUCAUCAUUGGUAGACAUCUUUACAAGAUCAAGCUAACAAUUAGAUAAAAAUUAGGUUAAAAUAAAACCUUAUGAGAUUACAUUAAACCUACCCUAAUACUUCAUCUUGUUUAUUACUUCGAAUGAGGUCAGCUUGUGGGCAUCAAUAAUGUGCUCCCCUCUACGGCUGUACUCCAUUAUUUUAUCCUGAUCUAAUAGAUCCAAAAUAGAGAGAGCCAUCGAUGUAUCAAUAAAAACGUUGAGCAUAUUUAUUUUUUUUCAUGCCUCGACCUUACUCGAACUAUCUUAUUUAUAUUUUAUUUUUAGAUGCAAAGGAAGAGUAUUUUUCAAUUCUUUAUUGAGCUAAGAUUAGGGUUGGAAGCCUAACCUGACCUAAUAUCAUACGGUUAUUUUGUUUUUUGACAAUCAAAUUUUAUACUCGGUCAGGGUCGUGUUUUAAGCAAACCCGACCUGACUCGACCCUAUAUAUAUAAAAAAUUUAUUUUUUAAUUAUUUUUAAUUUUUAGUUUAUAUAUUUAUAUAAUUAUAUAAUUUUAUAUUUAUAUUAAAAAAUAAUAUUUUAUUUUAAAAAAUAAUAUUGUAUAUUAAAAAAAUAUUUUAUUAAUUUUGAAUCAGAUCAAGUUGAUAUGGUCUAUACAAUAUCAGGUCAAGUCGGGUUCAAGUAUAAAAAAAUAAAAAAAAAUCUUCAAGUCGGGUCAGGUUCGAAUUUUAUGGAUAUAAAGUUAGGUUGGUUUAGGACGAGCAAAAACUCGUCUUGACCUGACCCAUUACCAUCCCUAGCUAAGAUAAUAGGUGAACAAUUUUUUAUUAGAUCGAGCUGUUACAUAAUACCACCUUUUAUCACUAUGGUAUAUCUUAAUAGAAAAAAUUCCUUAAAUUGUAGGAGAGAAAGAAGAAUAUUUAAAUGUUAACAAAGAUGAUGAAAGCAACUAUGUACCGAACAAAGUUGGAAGUGAAUUGGGUAAUAGUCAAAUUGUAAGAAUUAAAAAUUGAAACAAACAAAAAAAGAAAUGGAAACCUCAGACCGACCACAAAGGAAUCCCAAUAUACAUAAAGUCAAUGUGGCUUCAGUUUAUCAGUGACUCGGUCUAAGGAGUUUGAUAUUAUUACACUAUACUCCUCUUUGAAAGAAAAAGAGGUUAUCACCAGAGCGUAAAGUGAUGAGCUAAACACAUGUUAGGACAGUCUUCAGGAUUUAUCCUAACAUUUAGUUCUCUCAUCACAUUUUUAAGGAUCAUAUCAAGGUCACAGGGAGUAUAUACAGGGACCUAAGUCAAUUCACCCUACUCUACAGCAUUCCUCUCCUCGUCAUCACUUUCCCCAAUUGAGGUACUCCUUUCUUUUUGUUCUUUCUUAGAAUCUUUCUCAUCACUAGAAUUUUCAUUUUUAGAAAACUCCAACUCCUGAAUAGGAGCAGGAUUCCAAAGCUGAACCAUAGCUGAUAGCAAGUCAACUCCAAAGUAAAAAAGAUGAGGUAGAGACCUUUCAGGAGAGCAAAUGAUCCUAACAAGAACUAAUCGAGGGGGAAUAGAAAUGACAAUGGCAACAUUGAUAAGAGGAAUAGCAGAAGUAGAAAAAAAUUUAUGAGAUUGAACCCCAUAAGAGGGAAUAGCUAAAGAUAAAAGAAGGUUAGCCAUAGAAAAUGGACCAACUCGAAAAAAAUGUGGUGGAUUUUAUACUUCAAAGUCUAUUUGAGCAUACAGUUCUUUUGUACUCAAGACCCAUUCCCUUUUUAUCUGAGUAAUUUUUUUGUUUUGUCGUUGCCAUUCUUUAGACAUCGGGUUGAAACAAAAAGCCCAUCUUUUCCCAAUUACGGUCCCCGAUAUAUGGUGAAAUCAGAACAUUAUCGUCUUGCCCAAGCUGACCUCCCUUAAGUUAUACCAUAAAACUCUUGGCCUCUCCAGAACUUAUUUUAGAAGGCAUGGUUACAAAUACAUAUCGAAAAAAGUGUAGAAAACUUUAAAGUUCAAAGCUUUUGAGAUCAAAAAAUUUAAGUCAGAAUGAAAGCAAAAAAAAAAAAAAAAAAUAUGAAAAUUGAAAGGCCCAAUAGCCAUUCAUAUAGUCACACUGCAAAUUAGAUGAAUUGCGCAAACCAUGCCACAUGUCAGAUUGAAGAGGGAAAGAUAUCUUUUCAUCUUUCCAUUUAAAAUUUUCUUGCUUAAACUACCUUUUUUCCUCAUUUAAUGCCAUCACACUAGCCAAAAUCGGAUGAAUCUAGGCCAAACUAGCCAAACCGGACAAAUUCUAGGUCAAUCAACCAGACCAGAUAACUCUUCGAGGUAGACUGGACCCUUAGUUCAUCAUUAAAGUUCAAAGUAGAGACUCGAAUCCAAACUCCUAAAAUAAAACACAAGUCUCACAUUGACUAGACGAACUCCAACACUAACAUUAGACUAUUCUAAACAAUUAUCACCCUAGUAACUUUUAAGCUGGCUAUGCCCUUAAUUAAAGACAUACACGUAUGAUCAGACAACAACAAAGUCGGAUCACGACUCAAGGCUAGCUGUCUCCUAAUAUUAAUCUCCCUUUAUGAUACCAACUUCAAAGAAUUAAAUUUCAUGUCAUUUCCUUUUGCCUACCUAUCCUACAUUAGGUGCAUUGAUCAUAAAUUCAGCAAUUUAAAUAGUGGGGAGAUAGAAUGUUAUAAGUAUUUGACGAUUAAAAGAGUAUAAUGAUUUUUUUUUUAUGUUAAAAGCCUUUACCAAAUAAUCAAAGAUGAUUUUAUCAUUUAUGUUAAUAUGACAUAUUAGAUCGAUCUAACACAUUCAGUGCAACAUUAACUUGACAUUAUCUUUGUUGUCCUCAAAUGAUCUUUCAUUGCUUAUAUAUAAAUAUGAAAGUCUAGUCACAAUUAAAAUAAAUCCAUGUUACUCCUAUUUUUCUUUAUUAUUAUUUUUUUCAUCUUAUCUGUUUUGACUUAUAUAUUUAAAUACAAAUAUAAUUAAUACCUUUUAUUUUUACCUUUAAUCAUUUUUUCCUUUUAUGUUUAUAAAAUUUGAUCAGAGAUCAAAACUUACCGCAAGUUUUGUGGUCUGCCGUCUUUUAUGUAAAUGAAAUUAAGCUUAUUCAAAAGAAAGAAACGUGAGAAAGAGAAGAACUCAAUGAAAUUGAGCUUAUCCAAAAGAAAGAAACGUGACAAAGAGAAGAAAUAUAUUACUAUGGAUAUGAAAGCAGGAUACAAGAGGGCCAUGUGGGUGUUUCUCCGAAGGGCGAAGGAUGCUAUGUACACGGAAUCUCCCGUGCUUUACUUUAAUCAAUUUAGUUAAUAUAUUACAACAUCGAAUUAAUUUUAACACAAACUUAAUAAGAAUUUAUCUUGAUAUUUAUAAAUAUAAAUAUAAAUCUAUAAUUUUAAUAAAAAUUUUAUUUUGAUAUUUAUAAAUUAAGAGUGAUAUAUAAUAAUAUAUGAUGAUCGCUCAAAUAUUAAAAAAGUUAUCACGAUUUAACAAAACUUUUCGUAUACAGCACGUUAAUGAAAUUUGAAACGUUUUUCAUCGUAUUAAAAUCACUUUGUUCAAGGACCUUUUUGAUUUAAUAUUAACUACAAACAGACAAGAAAAUGGACUGUGAUGACACAAGAUGCAGACCGGGGUUGGCCUGCCAAAAUUGCAGAUGGGAUGGACCAGGAUAGCUUUGAGAGGGAUUUGAUGGUUAGCUGGGCAAUCUUGCAUAGCAGAAAUUUAUUUGUAAAAUGCAAUGGAACACCCCACAAGAUACGGCGAGGUUUGCUACCAUAUCGAGAAGUUCAGGAAGACAAAAAAGGUGUUGUAGGUACAAGACCUAAUGACGCUGAGGACUGGGCUGCCCCACCGGUUGACAUUUUGCAAGCGAAUUUUGAUGGUGCAAUAAAUGAAGUGAUGGAACAGGAGGCCUGGGGGUCGUGACACGAGACAGUGUUGGCGCUGUUGUUGGGGCAUCUUCCACAGUUUUAGUAGGAGUUAAAUCUCUCUCAAUAAUUUAAAUUAUGACAACGAUCACAUUUUUAAUGAUAUCAUAUUUAUAAUGAUUAUAAAUAUAAUAAAAAUUUUUAUAAUUAUUGUGAUUAUUAUGAUCAUAAAUUUUUUAAAAUUUUAUUUAAUUUAUUAUUAAAUAUAAUAAUUUUAAUUAUUAAUUAUAAAUUUUUUUAUUUUAUAAUUUUUAAAAUAAUUUAUAUUAUAUCAUAUAUUUUUUUAUUUAAGAAAAAAUAUUUAUAGUAAAAUAUUUAUAUUUAAAAAUUAUUUAUAUGAUAAUUAAAAAAUAAUAAGAGAUAAAUAAACAUAUAAAAAAUAAAUAAUCAUAAAAAUAAUAUAUUUAAUUAUUAUAUUUAUCAAAUUAUUAUCGAAUUAUAUUAUACAUAAAUCAAAUAAUAAAUUAUAAAUAUUUAUAAAUUAAAUAAGAGUAUUACUAUUUAUGAAUCAAGAGAAUUACUUUUUAUGGGCUUAUAGUAAAUCAAAUUUGCUCCAUGUUGUGGCAAUUUUAACAAAAAUUGCCUUAAGUUUACUUCCUCAACCUUUUGAUUAAAUUGCACAGAUUCACACAACUUCUCAUUCCCUUACUUUGCAUUCAAUAAUUUUUUUCUCCAAACCGUCAUUAUCAUCCCCAUCUCUCAGUUUUUUUUUUUUUAUUUGUGCCAUCUGUUCGUCUCCAUCAACCUUAAGUCUCACUCUCAUCUCUUGUCUCUCAUUUUAAGUCCUAGCAACUCUUGUCUCCUUCUACCAAUGCACCGUAGCUCAAUCCAAUCCCAAAUGCACAAAAUCAUGAUAAAUUUAAAAAUUAAAAAAAAAGUAAUUUGAGUAUUGAAUUAAUUACUUAUCUUAAACUGCAUAUAUUUGAUCUUGAUUGAAGUUAAAUUUCAAAGAAUUGAUAUCUUUAGAAGUUUAAGUUUUGUGAUUUUUUUUUAAUUUGUAAAUUGAUGUUUAUUUUUUUUCUUGCUGUUUUUAUUUAAAUUUUUAAAUAAAAUCAUAUGAAAAUUUUUUUCUUGAAUUUUUGAAUGAAUAAUGAAAUAGCGAGUAAUAGCGAACCGUUAUUAUCGCUAUUCAACAUUACACUGUAAUUUGCGACCGUGAUGCGUUUACUAUAAAUGAGAUUAAAGUUUUCUCUCAUUUUUUUUUCAAUAACGUUGAUGGAUAGUGAUACGAUUGUAAAAUAACGACAUCCAACCACUAUUUAAAUCUUUGGUCCCUCUUGUAACAGAAGCGUUUGCAGCAAUAAAGGCUCUAGAGCUAUCCAAAGACCCGGGACUUCAAACUAUUAUUUUAAAGGGUGACACAUUACGAAUAACAUAUGCACGAAUUGAGCAGGGGAAAGAUUUGUUUUAUGUUGGCCAUCAUAUCAUGGAUGAAGCUCGCAAACUCCAACAGAGUUUUGGUUUUAUCAAGGUUAAACAUGCGAAACGCAAGACCAAUGAAAUAGCACAUUGAAAGCAUUAGAAAGCAUUACAUUGAAAGGUUAAUGACCUUGUCCCCUUGUGGGAUUAGGCCCUAAGUUGAAUUUUCUUUAGGCCUAAGAGUGUGCUAGUAUAGGGUGAAGUUUAAGUCAUCAUUGGUAGACAUCUCUACAAGAUCAAGCUAACAAUUAGAUAAAAAUUAGGUUAAAAUAAAACCCUACGAGAUUACCUUAAACCUACCCUAAUACUUCAUCUUGUUUAUUACUUCGGAGGAGGUUAGCUUGUGGGCAUCAAUAAUGUGCUCCCCUCUACGGGUGUACUCCAUUAUUUUGUCCCGAUCUAAUAGAUCCAAAAUAGAGAGAGCUAUUGAUGUAUCAAUAAAAACAUUGAGCACAUUUAUUUUUUUUCGUGCCUCGACCUUAGUCGAACUAUCUUAUUUAUAUUUUGUUUUUAGAGGCAAAGGAAGAGUAGUUUUCAAUUUUUUAUUGAGCAAAGAUUAGGGUUGGCAGCCCAACCUGACCUAAUCUCAUACGGUCAUUUUUGUUUUACAAUCAAAUUUCACACUGGGUCAGGGUUGGGUUUUAAGCAAACCCGACCUGACUUGACCCGAUAUAUAUAUAAAUUUAUUUUUUAAUUAUUUUUAAUUUUUAGUUUAUAUAUUUAUAUAAUUAUAUAAUUUUAUAUUUAUAUUAAAAAAUAAUAUUUUAUUAAUUUCGAAUCAGAUCAAGUCGAGUAUGGUCUAUACAAUAUUAGGUCAAGUCGGGUUUAAGUAUAAAAAAAUAAAAAAAAUCUUUAGGUUGGGUCAGGUUCGAAUUUUAUGAAUAUAAAGUCGGGUUGGUUCGGGACGAGCAAAAACUCGCCCUGACCCAACCCAUUACCAUCCCUAGCUAAGAUAAUAAGCAAACAAUUUUUUAUUAGAUCGAGCUGUUACAUAAUACCACCUCUUAUCACUAAGGUACAUCUUAAUAGAAAAGAAUUCCCUAAACAGAGGUAGAGAAAGAAGAAUAUUUAAAUGUUAACAAAGAUGAUGAAAGCAACUAUGUACUGAACGAAGUUGAAAGUGAAUUGGGUGAUAGUCAAAUUGUAAGAAUUAAAAAUUAAAACAAAUAAAAAAAGAAAUAAAACCUCAGACCGACCACGAAAGAAUUCCAAUAUACAUAAAGCCAAUGUGGCUUCAAUUUAUCAGUGACUCGGUCUAAGGAGUUUGACAUUAUUAUACUAUACUCCUCUCUAGAAGAAAAAGAGGGUUGUCACCAGAACGCAAAAUGAUGAGCUAAACACAUGCUAGGACAGUCUUCAGGAUUUGUCAUGACAUUUAGUUCUCUCAUCACACUUUUAGGGAUCAUAUCAAGGUCAUACGAGAGUAUAUACAAGGGACCUAAGUCAAUUCAUCCUGCUCCACAGUGUUCCUCUCAUCGUCAUCACUUCCCCAAUUGAGGUACUCCCCUCCUCUUGUUUCUCCUCAGAACUUUUCUCAUCACUAGACUUUUCAUUUUUAGAAAACUCUGACUCCUGAAUAGGAGCAAGAUUCCAAAGCUGAACCAUAGCUGAUAGCAACUCAACUCUGAAGUAAAAGAGAUGAGGUGGAGACUUUUUAGGAGAGCAAAUGAUCCCAACAAGAACUAAUCAAGGGGGAAUAGAAGUGACAAUGGUAGCAUUGAUAGGAUGAAUAGUAAAAGUAAAAAAAAAUUAAUGAGAUUGAACCCCAUAAGAGGGAAUAGCUAAAGAUAAAGAGAGGUCAUCCAUAGAAAAUGGACUAACCUAAAAAAUGAAGAAAUGUGGUGGAUUUUGUACAUCAAAAUCUAUCUGAGCAUACAGUUCUUCUAUACUCGGAACCCAUUCCCUUCUUAUCUGAGCAUUUUUUUCGUUUUGUCGUUGCCAUUCUUUGGACAUCAGGUUGAAACAAAAAGCCCAUCUUUUCCCAAUUACGAUCCCCAAUAUAAGGUGGAAUCAGAACGUUAUCGUCUUGCCCAAGCUAACCUCCCUUAAGUUAUACCCUAAAACUCUUGGUCUCUCCAGAACUUAUUUUAGAAGGCAUGGUUACAAAUACAUAUCGAAAAAAGUGUAGAAAAACUUUAAAGUUGAAAAGCUUUUGAGAUCAAAAACUUUAGGCCAAAAUGAAAGCAAAAAAAAAAAAAAAAAACCAGAAAUAUGAAAAUUGAAAGCCCCAAUAGCCCUUUAUAUAGCCGCACUGCAAAUUAGAUGAAUUGCGCAAACCAUGCCACAUGUCAGAUUGAAGAAGGAAAGAUAUCUUUUCAUCUUUUCAUUUUUAAAUUUUCUCGGUUAAACUACCUUUUUCCUCAUUUAAUGUCAUAACACUUGCCAAAAUCGGAUGAAUCCAGGCCAAACUAGUCAAACGGACAAAUCCUAAGUCAAAUCAACCAAAUCAGAUAACUUUUCGGGACAGACUAGACCCUUAGUUCAUCAUCAGAGUUCAAAGUAGAGACUCGAAUCCAAACCCCUAAAAUAAAACACAAGUCUCACAUCGACUAGAUGAACUCCAACACUAACAUUAAACCAUUCUGAACAAUUAUCACCUUAGUAACCUUUAAGCUGGCUAUGCCCUUAAUUAAAGACAUACAUGUAUGAUCAGACAACAACAAGGUCAGACCACGACUCAAGGCUAAUUAUCUCCUAAUAUUGAUCUCUUUCUAUGAUGCCACUUCAAAUAAUUAAAUUUCAUGUUAUUUCCUUUUGCCUAUCUAUCCUACAUUAGGUGCAUUGAUCAUAAAUUCAACAAUUUGAUUAGUGGGGAGACAAAAUGUUAUAAGCAUUUUUCGGUUAAAAAAGUAUAAUGAUUUUUUUUUAUGUUAAAAGUUUUUAACAAAAAUUCAAAGAUAAUUUUAUCAUUUAUAUUGAUAUAACAUAUUAAAUCGAUCUGACACAUCUAAUAUUACAUUAACUUGAUAUUAUCUUUAUUGUCUUCAAAUGAUCUUUCAUUACUUAUAUAUAAAUACGAAAGUUCAGUCACAAUUAAAAUAAAUCCAUGCUACGUCUAUUUCUCUUUAUUAUUUUUUUUCUAAUUUUAUCUGUUUUGACUUUUAUAUUUAAAUACAAACAUAAUUAAUACCUUUAAUUAUCUUUCUCUUUUAUCUUUAUAAAAUUUAUAAGAUCAAAACUUAGCGCAAGUUUUAUGAUCCGCCGUCUUUUAUGUAAAUGAAAUUGAGCUUAUCCAAAAGAAAGAAACGUGACAAAGAGAACUAUAUUACUAUGGACGUGAAAGCAGGAUACAAGAUGGUCAUGUCGGUGUUUCUCCGAAGGGCGAAGGAUGCUAUGUACACGCAAUCUCCUGUGCUUGUGCGCGCAUGUACUACUUUUGUAUUUUAUGUUUUACUUUAAUCAAUUUAGUUAAUAUAUUACAACAUCAAAUUAAUUUUAACACAAACUUAAUAAAAAUUUAUCUUGAUAUUUAUAAAUAUAAAUAUAUAUCUAUAAUUUUAAUAGAAAUUUUAUUUUGAUAUUUAUAAAUCAAGAGUGAUAUAUAAUAAUAUAUGAUGAUCGCUCAAAUAUUAAAAAAAUUAUCAUGAUUUAACAAAAUUUUUCGUAUACGAUACGUUAAUGAAAUUUGAAACGUUUUUCAUCAUAUUAAAAUCACCUUGGUCAAGGACUUUCUUGAUUUAAUAGUAACUACAAACAGACAAGAAAAUGUAAUGAAGAUGACAUUUGAUGAGACCGGGGUUGGCCUGCCAAAAUUGCAGAUGGAGUGGACCAGGAUAGCUUUGAGAGGGAUUUGGUGGUUAGCUGGGCAAUCUUGCAUGGCAGAAAUUUAUUUGUAAAAUGCAAUGGAACACCCCACAAGAUACGGCAAGGUUUGCUGCCAUAUAUAUAGAGAAGUUCAAGCAGACAAAAAAGGUACUGUAGGUACAAGACCUAAUGACGCUGAGGAUUGGGCUGCCCCACCGGUUGAUAUUUUGAAAGCUAAUUUUGAUGGUGCACUAAAUGAAGCGAUGGAACAGGAGGCUUGAGGGUCGUGACACCAGACAGUGUUGGCGCUGUUGUUGGGGCAUCUUCCACAGUUUUAGUGGGAGUUAAAUCUCUCUCAAUAA